rnacentral:rRNA from 1 species
GGUGAACGCUGGCGGUAGGCCUAACACAUGCAAGUCGAACGGCAGCACAGUAAGAGCUUGCUCUUACGGGUGGCGAGUGGCGGACGGGUGAGGAAUACAUCGGAAUCUACUUUUUCGUGGGGGAUAACGUAGGGAAACUUACGCUAAUACCGCAUACGACCUACGGGUGAAAGCAGUGGAUCUUCGGACCUUGCGCGAUUGAAUGAGCCGAUGUCGGAUUAGCUAGUUGGCGGGGUAAAGGCCCACCAAGGCGACGAUCCGUAGCUGGUCUGAGAGGAUGAUCAGCCACACUGGAACUGAGACACGGUCCAGACUCCUACGGGAGGCAGCAGUGGGGAAUAUUGGACAAUGGGCGAAAGCAUGAUCCAGCCAUACCGCGUGGGUGAAGAAGGCCUUCGGGUUGUAAAGCCCUUUUGUUGGGAAAGAAAAGCAGCAGGUUAAUACCCCGCUGUUCUGACGGUACCCAAAGAAUAAGCACCGGCUAACUUCGUG